rnacentral:rRNA from 1 species
ACAGAGGAUGCAAGCGUUAUCCGGAAUGAUUGGGCGUAAAGCGUCCGUAGGUGGUUUUGUAAGUCUGUGGUUAAAGCGUGGAGCUUAACUCCAUAACGGCCAUGGAAACUACAAGACUAGAGUUAAGUAGGGGUAGAGGGAAUUCCCAGUGUAGCGGUGAAAUGCGUAGAGAUUGGGAAGAACACCGGUGGCGAAAGCGCUCUACUGGACUUAUACUGACACUGAGGGACGAAAGCUAGGGGAGCGAAAGGGAUUAGAUACCCCUGUAGUCCUAGCCGUAAACGAUGGAUACUAGGUGUUGCCCGUAUCGACCCGGGCAGUGCCGUAGCUAACGCGUUAAGUAUCCCGCCUGGGGAGUACGCACGCAAGUGUG